rnacentral:rRNA from 1 species
CACUUGUCUCUUAAUUGGAGGCUUGAAUGAAGGGUUGGACGAGAUAUAAACUUUCUUUGUUGUAAUUAGUUGAAUUUGACUUUUGAGUCAAAAGGCUUAAAUUUAUUUAUAGGACGAGAAGACCCUAUAGAAUUUUAUAUUUUUAUAUCAAUAAUUUAUUUGUUUAUAAUUAGAUUUUUUAUAUAAAAAUAUUUUGUUGGGGCGAUGGGAAGAUUUUUUUAACUCU